GCCCUUUAUAGUCAAUCUUUAACCAUUUUUCAUAAAUCUAAGUAAUUUACAAAAUCUCCACUGAAACUACUAGGCCACAAUCAUCUUUGGGGUAUCUAGUUUGAAAAAUGUGUCCGAUGACCUGGCCAUUCAACCAAGAUGGCCGCCACGGCUAAAAAUAGAACAUAGGGGUAAAAUGCAGUUUUUGGCUUAUAACUAUGAAACCAAAGCAUCUAGAGCAAAUCUGACAAGAAGUUUAAAUUGUUAAUCAAGUCAAUAUCUAUCUGCCCUGAAUUUUUCAGAUGAAUUGGACAACUGGUUGUUGGGUUGCUGCCCUCCAAUUGGUAAUUUUUAAAGAAAUUUUGCCGUUUUUGGUUAUCUUGAAUACUAUUAUAGAUAGCGAUAAACUGUAAACAGCAAUAAUGUUCAGCAAAGUAAGAUCUACAAAUAAGUCAACAUGACCUAAAUGGUCAAUUGACCCCUUAAGGAGUUAUUGCCCUUUAUAGUCAAUUUUUAACAAUUUUCAUUAAUUUGGUAAAUUUAUGUAAAUUUUUACCAAAUAUAGUUUUCUGUUACUAAUGGGCAAAGUUCAUUAUAGAUAUAAUUGUAAGAAGCAAAAUCGUUCAGUAAAGUAAGAACUUCAAACACAUCACCAUCACCAAAAUACAAUUUUGUCAUGAAUCCAUUUGUGUCCUUUGUUUAA
rnacentral:lncRNA from 1 species